rnacentral:sRNA from 1 species
ACACCACCCACACACACCACCACGCCCUGUCCCCUUUCUCCACCCUGCAAGCUAGUUGCAUUUACCUCACAGAGCCUGGGCUGCGACUUGAAAGACUUUAGGCAGCAACAGAGUGACCCUGGGGGUGCUCUUGACCGACAGCCGCACCUCCGGCGUCUAGGACCUCCGAGCAGGGAUGCAUCUGGGGGUCUAGGGAAGCACUUCCACCCCCUCCUCUCCUCAACCCUGGCAGGAUGGCUACCGCUGCUUCAAGACAGUGACGUUUCUCUCCGGUCAGCUGUCAGGAGCGCUGAUGAGCUUCCUACUGUGCCACAAGCUGGGUCUUACUGGGGAUCUGGCCAGCCUUGGGGACCCUUGGGGCCCUGGCCCAGUGGAAGCUUGUGCCUGAGGAACAUGGAGGCCACGCCAAUGAGUUACUUCCAGAGUCUUCAAGAGUGCCAACUGGGACCAGGACCCCAGGCCACAGCCCCCCACACCGUCCUGGACCUGGAUUCUGACUGUGGUUCCACUGUACCCCUCACCUUAAUCUCUGGUUCUAACCAGACCUGAGCCUAGACUUCCACUUUUU